rnacentral:tRNA from 1 species
CAGGAUAUGGCUAAGUAGUAAAGCAUCUCCCUUACACUGAGAAAUCACCCGUGCAAAUCGGAUUGUCCUGA